AUUGAACGCUGGCGGCAGGCCUAACACAUGCAAGUCGGGCGGUAGAGAGAAGCUUGCUUCUCUUGAGAGCGGCGGACGGGUGAGUAAUGCCUAGGAAUCUGCCUGGUAGUGGGGGAUAACGUUCGGAAACGGACGCUAAUACCGCAUACGUCCUACGGGAGAAAGCGGGGGACCUUCGGGCCUUGCGCUAUCAGAUGAGCCUAGGUCGGAUUAGCUAGUUGGUGAGGUAAUGGCUCACCAAGGCGACGAUCCGUAACUGGUCUGAGAGGAUGAUCAGUCACACUGGAACGGAGACACGGUCCAGACUCCUACGGGAGGCAGCAGUGGGGAAUAUUGGACAAUGGGCGAAAGCCUGAUCCAGCCAUGCCGCGUGUGUGAAGAAGGUCUUCGGAUUGUAAAGCACUUUAAGUUGGGAGGAAGGGUUGUAGAUUAAUACUCUGCAAUUUUGACGUUACCGACAGAAUAAGCACCGGCUAACUCUGUGCCAGCAGCCGCGGUAAUACAGAGGGUGCAAGCGUUAAUCGGAAUUACUGGGCGUAAAGCGCGCGUAGGUGGUUUGUUAAGUUGGAUGUGAAAUCCCCGGGCUCAACCUGGGAACUGCAUUCAAAACUGACUGACUAGAGUAUGGUAGAGGGGUGGUGGAAUUUCCUGUGUGUCUGCUGAAUGUUUAUAUAUAGGAGGC
rnacentral:rRNA from 1 species